CCUACGGGUGGCAGCAGUGGGGAAUAUUGGACAAUGGGCGAAAGCCUGAUCCAGCCAUGCCGCGUGUGUGAAGAAGGCCUUCGGGUUGUAAAGCACUUUCAGUGGGGAAGAAAGCCUUGGGGCUAAUACCCUCGAGGAAGGACAUCACCCACAGAAGAAGCACCGGCUAACUCCGUGCCAGCAGCCGCGGUAAUACGGAGGGUGCGAGCGUUAAUCGGAAUUACUGGGCGUAAAGCGCGCGUAGGCGGUCUGAUAAGCCGGUUGUGAAAGCCCCGGGCUCAACCUGGGAACGGCAUCCGGAACUGUCAGGCUAGAGUGCAGGAGAGGAAGGUAGAAUUCCCGGUGUAGCGGUGAAAUGCGUAGAGAUCGGGAGGAAUACCAGUGGCGAAGGCGGCUUUCUGGACUGACACUGACGCUGAGGUGCGAAAGCGUGGGUAGCAAACAGGAUUAGAUACCCCGGUAGUC
rnacentral:rRNA from 1 species